CCUACGGGUGGCAGCAGUAGGGAAUCUUUCACAAUGGGCGAAAGCCUGAUGGAGCAACGCCGCGUGCAGGAUGAAGGCCUUCGGGUUGUAAACUGCUUUUAUAAGCGAGAAAUAUGAUGGUAACUUAUGAAUAAGGAUCGGCUAACUACGUGCCAGCAGCCGCGGUCAUACGUAGGAUCCGAGCAUUAUCCGGAGUGACUGGGUGUAAAGAGUUGCGUAGGUGGCAUAAUAAGUAGCUAGUGAAAUCUGGUGGCUCAACCAUUCAGACUAUUAGCUAAACUGUUAAGCUCGAGACCGUUAGGGGUAACUGGAAUUGCUAGUGUAGGAGUGAAAUCCGUAGAUAGUAGAAGGAACACCAAUAGCGUAGGCAGGUUGCUGGGACGGUUCUGACACUAAGGCACGAAAGCGUAGGGAGCAAACGGGAUUAGAUACCCGAGUAGUC
rnacentral:rRNA from 1 species